rnacentral:rRNA from 1 species
AUUGAACGCUGGCGGCAGGCCUAACACAUGCAAGUCGAACGAGUGGCGGACGGGUGAGUAAUGUCUGGGAAACUGCCCGAUGGAGGGGGAUAACCACUGGAAACGGUAGCUAAUACCGCAUACCAUCGGAUGUGCCCAGAUGGGAGUGGCUAGUAGGUGGGGUAACGGAUCACCUAGGCGACGAUCCCCACCUGGUCGGAGAGGAUGACCAGCCACGCUGGAACGUAGACACGGUCCAAACUCCUACGGGAGACAGCAGUGGGGAAUAUUUCACAAUGGGCGUGAGCCUAGUGAAGCCAUGCCGCGUGUAUGAAGAAGGCCGUCGGGUUGUAAAGUACUUUCAUCGAGGAGGCGUUACUCGCAGAAGAAGCACCGGCUAACUCCGUACCAGCAGCCGCGGUAAUAC